rnacentral:rRNA from 1 species
CAGUCGCCGCGGGAAUACAGAGGAUGCAAGCGUUAUCCGGAAUGAUUGGGCGUAAAGCGUCUGUAGGUGGCUUUUCAAGUCCGCCGUCAAAUCCCAGGGCUCAACCCCGUGAUGGGAAAGAAACUACAUGUCUUGAGUACAGGGGAGGAAAGCGGAAUUCCCAGUGUAGCGGUGAAAUGCGUAGAUAUUGGGAGGAACACCGAUGGCGAAGGCAGCCCCCUGGGCCAAUACUGACGCUCAUGCACGAAAGCGUGGGGAGCAAACAGGAUUAGAUACCCCAGUAGUCCCUGUCUCUUAUACA